GUCGUUAUCUUCUUCGGUCGAUCUAAAACAGAGGCAUCGCUCCCACGCCGCCGCCGCCGCCGCCUUUGGAGACAUCUCCCUCUGCAGCCAUGGGGAAGAAAAGAGACGAGGAUGGAGAGACCAAAGCCGGCCAAGCGAAAAGGGCCUUAAUCCUUCGAUAAGUGGCUUGAAAACCUGAGUGGCCACCAACUGCACUAGAAUGAAGAGACAUCCGAACUUUAUGCAUGCACUCCUCAAACUGGUGUGCAUACUCAUCUGCAGAACCAGUUUGCUACAAUGUGAAGAAUGUAUCCAUGUGUCUAGAGUACUUCUGUCGACUGAAUUUUGCAAACACUACAACACACAAUUUAGGCCAACUCUCGAUAUUGUGUA